AUUGAACGCUGGCGGCAGGCCUAACACAUGCAAGUCGGGCGCGGGGCGGACGGGUGAGAAAUGUAUGGGGAUCUGCCUGAUGGAGGGGGAUAACUACUGGAAACGGUAGCUAAUACCGCAUACCUUCCGCUGAAACCAUAUGGGAUUAGCUUGUAGGUGAGGUAACGGCUUACCUAGGCAACGAUCCCUAGCUGGUCUGAGAGGGGGAACAGCCACACUGGGACUGAGACACGGCCCAGACUCCUACGGGAGGCAGCAGUAGGGAAUAUUGCACAAUGGGCGAAAGCCUGAUGCAGCCACGCCGCGUGUAUGAAGAAGGCCUUCGGGUUGUAAAGUACUGUCAGUCGGGAGGCGUUACCGACACAGGAAGCACCGGCUAACUCCGUGCCAGCAGCCGCGGUAAUAC
rnacentral:rRNA from 1 species